rnacentral:rRNA from 1 species
GGGAGCUCUCCCAUAUGGUCGACCUGCAGGCGGCCGCGAAUUCACUAGUGAUUCGUAUUACCGCGGCUGCUGGCACGUAGUUAGCCGGUGCUUAUUCUUCCGGUACCGUCAAGAGCGUCCCGUAUUAGGGGGCGCCUUUUCUUCCCGAACAAAAGCGGUUUACAACCCUAGGGCCUUCAUCACUCACGCGGCAUGGCUGGAUCAGGCUUUCGCCCAUUGUCCAAUAUUCCCCACUGCUGCCUCCCGUAGGAGUUUGGGCCGUGUCUCAGUCCCAAUGUGGCUGAUCAUCCUCUCAGACCAGCUACUGAUCGUCGCCUUGGUGAGCCGUUACCUCACCAACUAGCUAAUCGGACGCGGACUCCUCCUAUGGCGAGAGAUCUUGCGACCCCCCUUUGACCUCACGGUCAUAUGCGGUAUUAGCCCGAGUUUCCCCGGGUUAUCCCCCACCUCAGGGCAGAUAAUCCACGCGUUACUCACCCGUUCGCCGCUCGACUGGGUAUUGCUACCCGCCUCGCUCGACUUGCAUGUGUAAAGCACGCCGCCAGCGUUCAUUCUGAGCCAUGAUCAAACUCUAAUCGAAUUCCCGCGGCCGCCAUGGCGGCCGGGAGCAUGCGAC